AUUUCAUUUUCAAAGGAAAUACCCCGGAAAAAAAGCGGAAAGGUCCUAUACGUUUGUGCUAACAUUUUACGCUGGACUGCCUCACAAGGAGUUGUGCAAAGAUUGCUUCUGAAAGAGCGAUCGAUACCAACACUUCGUGUGCAAACAUCCAGACUCCAGACAAAGUUUUUGGUGAAUGAUGGCUGUAGGGUCAAUGAGAAAUCAGCGGAGAGCCCUAAAUGUUUAUCCAGGCUGCUGACUGGUGCAAAUAGUCUUCUGGAGCACCAUCAGGUUUCAGGCCAGCUACCCUGCAUGGCUGCACUGCCACUAUAAAUCCACAAGCUGAUUAAACAGUAAAUUUAGCAUGCCUAUCAACUUACCAUUAACCAGGUUGCUGCUUUCAAAAACAUCAUUAAUCAAGCAGCAGAUAUGGAGGAAAAUAUCAGUCAUCGAUCCUGUGCACUUAUGACAGUUAACACUGCAGCAUAUUAGCAUUGAGCGGCCGCUGAUCUAUCAAUUACUUACCGACCACAUGAUUCGCCUGCUGCCCGCACUCAUUCUAAUUCUGCAUUUCCCUCUUCACUAAUGCAUUUCAACUGUUAUCUCAUAGGCUAAUGAAAGCAAACAAAUCAAUAAAUAUAAAUUAUACAUGCGAGGAUGUACCGCUGCCAACAUAAAGCCCCUAAUUAAUUGCACUUGAUUAAUUUAUAUACUUUAAUUAUCUCUCUAAGCCACACGAGGCAUAAAUAUCAGGACAAUCUGCUUAUUGCUAUGUCAGUCAUAAAACGGCAGACGCUGGGAAACGAUUAGCACAGCCAGAAUAUCGUCAAUGGGAAACACACAGUUGCUGACAGAAAAAAGUCAAAGCACUGAAUAAUUUAAAGUAAGCAAAAGCAGCACAAAAUGAGUGAAGGCCUGGAACAAGACCACUGCUUUUAUUUUAUGCAUCCCGGCUUUAAUAUGGUAAGUGAUUCGUACUGCAUGUUGCGCAAACAACACGAACAACAAGUCUAGCACAGAAACGAGCCAUUUCUCCUCUCGGUUACUGUUCAGCGUCUCAUUCAUCUAGUCUAACAUAUUAAUAAAAAUAGAAAUCGAAAAAUUACAACUAUUAUGUUGACACAAUAAAAUGCAUUCAUUUAAUAUUGUACUGCAGCUGAUUUACUUUUAAUUGCAAUUUAAAUGAAUUUGUAAUGUUAAUCAUUCAUUGGCCUACAUUCAGUUUUUGAAAAUAAAUAAAUAAAUAAAAAGGCAAUCCACCAGUCUUGGAUAUGGCAUGCUCUAGAGAAAUUAACAAAAUUGAACACGUUGCUUUUCAACACCUGAUAAUAAUGAUAAUAUUCCAUUAUGAAGAAAUCUAAGGAACAAAAUCAAUUUAUGAGCCUGUCUUGCAGCCGAGGCCUUUAGGGGAGAUGGCCCAAGGAAGGCAAACAAUAUAAUCAAAGAAAUGUAAGAGAGAAUGAGUGUGAAAAAAAGUGCAAAAAAGUAAAGGGGGGGUUGUAAAUGAGUUUUAGGAAUGUGAAAGAGGAGUUACGUCCUGAUUCCUGUUAAUUACGGUUUUUAGAACAAUUAGCCCAACAGGGAGCAUGACAGAAUAAUUAUGGUAUCCGUGGUUACAGUGGAACAUUAAUGUGUCCAGGUACAGUAAAUAUGUCGGAGCCCGAGGUGACGCGACCUUGCACCCCUCACAGCCGCAUCUUGAUAUGUACUAAAUUGUCUGCCCUUGUGAAACUGUGUCCUAAUGGGCUUUAGAAAAUUACAGUGUCUGCCACGGGUCUUAUCUCUUUAAACAAAGAACUUGUUUCUUUUUUAUUUUUUAAGUUUGUGCUAAUUAUACAUCUUCAGCAAUUGGAUUUGUGACAGUUACAGAGACUGCUGAUGUGUCCAUAGUUUCCACUUAAGCUUUAGACCUCCGACACAGCAGCUCGCCUGGACUUUAUGGAGUAACAGAAGCCGGUGUGCUGUAUAGGUGCUUGCAGACAAAACAAUUGGAGUGCAUAAAUGCCAGACUGUACAUAAAAACACCUGAGAGAAUUUGGCUGAAACAUCAAACACACCCUAUACACAGCAUACACACAUUCGUCUGUUAACGUGCCAGUGACUACAGAGAGAACAGAGCUCCUUGUCUCUCUUCGAUUUGGGUGUUUUAUCUAUAGAGCUCAAACUACCAGAGAAGGAACUCAGCAGACAAACUUUGUAUGUUUCGAACAUAAAUAAUAUAAAUACACUACUGUUUAAAAGUUUGGUGUUGGUAAGAUGUUUUAAUGUUUGUUUUUGAAUGUUCACGAUUUGCAUUUGAUCUUAAAAUACACAUAUCUUCCAUGUGGAGAUUUCAUUGACACAGUCACCUACACAAUAUGUAUUGUGAAAAGUGCUAAAAAAUAAACAUGAAUUAAACCGGAAGAAGUCUCUGAUGUUUACCAAAUGCUGCAUUUAUUUGAUCAAAAACACAGUAAAAACUGU
ensembl:lncRNA